rnacentral:rRNA from 1 species
UACGGGGGGGGGCAAGCGUUGUUCGGAAUUACUGGGCGUAAAGGGCUCGUAGGCGGCCAACUAAGUCAGACGUGAAAUCCCUCGGCUUAACCGGGGAACUGCGUCUGAUACUGGACGGCUUGAGUUUGGGAGAGGGACGCGGAAUUCCAGGUGUAGCGGUGAAAUGCGUAGAUAUCUGGAGGAACACCGGUGGCGAAGGCGGCGUCCUGGACCAACACUGACACUGAGGAGCGAAAGCCAGGGGAGCAAACGGGG